ACUCGGGAAUUAGGGCUUGAUGUGAAACCUAGUUCCAUUUUCGUUGUGUAUCAUGGGGUUUUGGAACAUCAUCCACAAGCUGGAGUACAAAGAAUUCAAUCUCAAUCACAAUCAUAGUCACAAUGUGACUGUUGAUUUGGCAUCGAUUGCUUUGAUGACUGCCGGAGGCUUGCUCUACGUUCUCGUCCACGGUUUUAUGCAAAACCGCAGUUUUGUCUCCGGCUCGGACGUUCUCGUCCACGGUUUUAUGCAAAACCGCAGUUUUGUCUCCGGCUCGGAUGCUCGACGUGCUGAUGGCCUCCAUCUCCUGGUUCCGCCACCGCCACGAGGAUCGCCGCCGGUAACGAGAUCGGAGAACCGAAUGUUCAUAGUUCGUUUUCCGGCUCCCACUGCGUCCAUUCGUCGCCAGAGCUUCUGAUUUGUUCGUAUUACAGCUAUUGAAGUUCCUGUGAUUGCGUAUGUUGCGUAGAUAUGUGUUGCAUAUUCGAUUAGGUUUCUUCAUAUUUCUUCUGUUAUGUUGAUUUUGUUCCUCUCGUUGCUCCAGCUUCUGAAUCCGCUAGGAUUUGUUCGUAUUACAGCUAUUGAAGUUCCUGUGAUUGCGUAUGUUGUGUAGAUAUGUGUUGCAUAUUCGAUUAGGUUUCUUCAUAUUUCUGUUAUGUUGAUUUUGUUCCUCUCGUCGCUCCAGCUUCUGAAUCCGCUAGGAUUUGUUCGUAUUACAGCUAUUGAAGUUCAUGUGAUUAGGUGUAUGUUGUGUAGAUAUGUGUUGCGUAUUCGAUUAGGUUUCUUCAUAUUUCCGUUCUGUUGAUUUUGUUGGUAUAAACAUAUGUUUACACGAUUUACGAUGAUAUUGAAGUAAAUGAGCAUAUAAGUUUGAUGCCUACUAAAUUAGCUGAUGCGUGAUGCUUUAUUAUA